GUGAUAGUGAAUAGGUCUCAUGAGAUCUGAUGGUUUUAUAAAGGGCAGUUCCCCUGGACUUCUCCUUGCUGCCACCAUGUGAAGGACAUGUUUGCUUCCUCUUACACCAUGAUUCUGAGACAUCUGGUGGACUGACCUGAAUCCAGACAAGCAACUUCUCCAUCUUCAUUGCUAGAUUCAAACUUUAAAACUACUCUGUGAGGAAAUGAAAUGUGACUUUCCGAAAUAACUUCUAGCCCAAGGAGAUGGUGGAGGAGUGUGCCUGAGAGAGGCAUCACCACCGGAAAUGGUUGUUGGAGCAGGUGUACUUGU
rnacentral:lncRNA from 1 species